AUUGAACGCUGGCGGCAGGCCUAACACAUGCAAGUCGAACGGUAACAGGAAGAAGCUUGCUUCUUUGCUGACGAGUGGCGGACGGGUGAGUAAUGUCUGGGAAACUGCCUGAUGGAGGGGGAUAACUACUGGAAACGGUAGCUAAUACCGCAUAACGUCGCAAGCCCAAAAAGGGGGACCUUCGGGCCUCUUGCCAUCGGAUUUGCCCAGAUGGGAUUAGCUAGUAGGUGGGGUAACGGCUCACCUAGGCGACGAUCCCUAGCUGGUCUGAGAGGAUGACCAGCCACACUGGAACUGAGACACGGUCCAGACUCCUACGGGAGGCAGCAGUGGGGAAUAUUGCACAAUGGGCGCAAGCCUGAUGCAGCCAUGCCGCGUGUAUGAAGAAGGCCUUCGGGUUGUAAAGUACUUUCAGCGGGGAGGAAGGGAGUAAAGUUAAUACCUUUGCUCAUUGACGUUACCCGCAGAAGAAGCACCGGCUAACUCCGUG
rnacentral:rRNA from 1 species